rnacentral:rRNA from 1 species
AAUAUUUGACAAUGGGCGAAAGCCUGAUCCAGCCAUGCCGCUUGUGUGAAGAAGGUCUUCGGACUUGACGGUACCUACGGAGGAAGCCCCGGCUAACUACGUGCCAGCAGCCGCGGUAAGACGUAGGGGGCAAGCGUUGUCCGGAAUUAUUGGGCGUAAAGGGUGCGUAGGCGGCCUUUUAAGUCAGAUGUGAAAGCCCACGGCUUAACCGUGGGACUGCAUUUGAAACUGGGGGGCUUGAGUAUCGGGGAGGGUAGUGGAAUUCCCAGUGUAGCGGUGGAAUGCGUAGAUAUUGGGAGGAACACCAGUGGCGAAGGCGACUACCUGGACGAAAACUGACGCUGAGGCACGAAGGCUAGGGGAGCAAACA